GAUGCCUGCACUCUGGGAACGGAGCGGUCUUGGAGGGCAGUAGGGGACAACUAAUUCCUUAAGACCGAUGUGGAAGGCGUUGGCAGCAGACACCUCCCAGAGAGGAAGAGGAGGACCUGGUGCCGUGGGUUUUCUGUGCCCUCUGUGAAGAAUGGUUCCACUGCUCCUGUCCUCGACGCACGUUCAACGUUCAAAUAGGAAUAAACCAGGGAUGACAACAGAUAAUCUAUAACGGAUAUCUGCGUCCUGUCAUCCACUCCUUCUUCCACUUUUUCCCACUGCAAUGUAAAGAAAAGACAGAAAAGAAUGAACAGCAUUUGAAUUACUCUAGGUCGGUCUGGGGUGAAGCUUUGAAAAAUAAGGAAUAUUUGAUAACAGAGGUACACAUAUAUCAAGGUAAUUUCAAUAAUCUACAUGAAGGGCAUACUAGGGUUGAGUUCCCCGUACAACGACAGGUUAGCAUUAACGAUACAUCCUACCAUGUUAGUCUAAACUUACUAACAUCUAAAGUACGACGAUCUCCAAAAACUGUUGAACCAACAUAGUGGCCUAUUAUGAAAGUUUGAACCAUAUUAGUAGUUAGAAUGUACGUGUUUAAUGACGUAGUGAAUCAUUUCCCCCAAAUUCCUAGGUCUUCUAGCAUAAGCUAUUAUUUGUUCAUACAGGUUUACGUUGUGAAAUUGCUGUCUGUAUUACAUUAACUUGUAUAUGCCUUUACGUGUUUCUAUUGUGUAUUUUAUAGGCCUUACGUGUUUCUAUUGAACAGUUGUGUAUUGUGGUAUUUCCAUUUGUUGUUAGCUCUAUGGAGCCUGCCCCUUCGAUGUAAUGGGUUCAUAUCCAGCCUCAAUUAAUUCUGCGUAAUUAUAACCCGUUACUGGAAAAAGGCCUUAAUGUUCCAUUGCAGGGAACAACCCUGAUGUCCACUACCGCAAGUGUGAUGUGAAAAAUGUUCUGUACUAUUAUUCGUACUAUUAUUUUGGAAUUGAAGAUUCGGUUGUGGCAGAAUUUACAUCUUCUUUUUACAUCUACAUCCCAAAUUCAAAUGUCUUUGUGUGACCAAACCUUCUCAUCUGCAAGGACAUUUAAAUGUUUUUUAAUUGUUUUGGUUGGUAAUUAUUUAAAUUGAGAGAGAUUGCAGCUUCUUUUAAAUUGUACAGAUAAAUGUUGCUUGUUACAGAUAAUAAUAAAAAAAGGUAAAUGUAUUGUUUCUUCUCUAAAGGUAUUGCUGUUUCUUUGCAGUUAUUGUUGAAGCCUAAAAGUGUAUCAAGAAUUCGCAAUGAAAUGUUAUUCUAACAGCAGAAUACUGGUGACCUGUAAAAUUACCAGCAUGACAUACAGUACAGAUAGCCUACUGUUACUUAAAACACAAUAUUAACGUUCCUAUUGUACAGUUAAAACACUGUUACCGUAAAUAAAAACACAGCACUUGGAAAUUACCGUGUUUGAUUUUCUAUUUAAAACUCUACCACUGUAACCAAAAAAUACAGUAGCCUACAUAGUAAUUACUGGGUUUUAUUUUAAAGUAAGUUCCUUGUCAAUAGCUCCCAGUUUCUUACAGUGCGGGUAAAACUGCACAUACCGCUAAAAAAUACCGCUAGAUAGUUUGGACAAAGACACGGAUAUGCUACUGUGGGUAUACAACUUGCUAGAAUACAUCAUAGAGACAUAGAACGUGUCCCCCCAACACACACACACACACACACACACACGGAACGAGAUUGGGAGAGAUCCUGGGCGGAG
ensembl:lncRNA